GUCUACGACCAUGCCACCCUGAACAAGCCUGAUCCCGUCUGAUCUCGGAAGCUAAGCAGGAUCGGGCCUAGUUUGAACCUGGAUGGGAGACAAUCUUGGAAGACCAGGCACUGUAGGUG
rnacentral:rRNA from 1 species